rnacentral:lncRNA from 1 species
GCCAAACAUGCAAACGCAGACUCGUUAUCUAGACUUCCACUUAAAAGUACUGAAGUAGACACUUCAUUGAAAAUGGUGGAAUCUUUCCAUAUUGCUCAAAUGGAAGCAAUUCCCGUUUCGAACAAACAAGUUCAGCAGGAAACAAGAAAUGACCGUGUUUUGGGACUUAUAACUACCUUCUCACAGGCUGGCUGGAACACUAUUCACAAAGAUGGUGAAUAUGCGCCAUAUUAUUCUAGACGAAAUGAUCUUACUGUACAUCAAGGAUGCCUUAUGUGGGGCGUGAGAGUGAUAAUUCCUAGUAAACUUCGCAGUCAGGUAUUAGGACAGAUCCAUGAAAGACAUCUUGGUGUCGUUCAAAUGAAAGCAUUAGCCAGAAGUUUUGUUUGGUGGUCAGGAAUCGACCAG